UGGGGAAUAUUGGACAAUGGGCGAAAGCCUGAUCCAGCAAUGCCGCGUGAGUGAUGAAGGCCUUAGGGUUGUAAAGCUCUUUUACCCGGGAUGAUAAUGACAGUACCGGGAGAAUAAGCUCCGGCUAACUCCGUGCCAGCAGCCGCGGUAAUACGGAGGGAGCUAGCGUUAUUCGGAAUUACUGGGCGUAAAGCGCACGUAGGCGGCUUUGUAAGUUAGAGGUGAAAGCCUGGAGCUCAACUCCAGAAUUGCCUUUAAAACUGCAUCGCUUGAAUCCAGGAGAGGUGAGUGGAAUUCCGAGUGUAGAGGUGAAAUUCGUAGAUAUUCGGAAGAACACCAGUGGCGAAGGCGGCUCACUGGACUGGUAUUGACGCUGAGGUGCGAAAGCUGGGGAGCAAACAGGAUUAGAUACCCUGGUAGUCCACGCCGUAAACGAUGAUAACUAGCUGUCGGGGCUCUUAGAG
rnacentral:rRNA from 1 species